rnacentral:rRNA from 1 species
AGUGAACGCUGGCGGUAGGCCUAACACAUGCAAGUCGAACGGCAGCACAGUAAGAGCUUGCUCUUACGGGUGGCGAGUGGCGGACGGGUGAGGAAUACAUCGGAAUCUACUUUUUCGUGGGGGAUAACGUAGGGAAACUUACGCUAAUACCGCAUACGACCUACGGGUGAAAGCAGGGGAUCUUCGGACCUUGCGCGAUUGAAUGAGCCGAUGUCGGGUUAGCUAGUUGGCGGGGUAAAGGCCCACCAAGGCGACGAUCCGUAGCUGGUCUGAGAGGAUGAUCAGCCACACUGGAACUGAGACACGGUCCAGACUCCUACGGGAGGCAGCAGUGGGGAAUAUUGGACAAUGGGCGCAAGCCUGAUCCAGCCAUACCGCGUGGGUGAAGAAGGCCUUCGGGUUGUAAAGCCCUUUUGUUGGGAAAGAAAAGCAGCAGGUUAAUACCCCGCUGUUCUGACGGUACCCAAAGAAUAAGCACCGGCUAACUUCGU